ensembl:lncRNA
AGGACUGAUGGUAAAGGUAGACUACCCUCUCGGCAAGAGAUCCUUACAAGUCACCCAGACCUUCAUCUUCCAUACCUCCGUCUCUGAAGUAAAUACUUCCCUUCCGACUCAUUGAAGAGAAAGUAUUCCUCCAGUACAGGAGGUGUUCCCCCUCAUUCUGGAUCAGUGCUUCCUCCAGACCAUUCACUGCAUCCAGAAACUAAAGUCAACCACCGAAGCUGUGAACGCAGAGGUUUAAGUUAGCCAUCAGUAUUUGAGGGAUACUGUGUGUGUGAACAUUUCUCUGGGCCCUGAAAAUGAACGGAAGAUGGCUGCCCACAGGAAGUGAUGUUGUCACCCAGUUAGCUACCUCACGCUGCCGGCGCAAUCCAGAUCCAAAAUAACCUGUACAUUUU